UUGUGUGCCUAAAUGCAUCAAUGAGAAUUCAAAAAAAUAAUAAAUAAUUAAAUAAAGCAUUUAAGGGUAUUUUGGAUAUUUUCUACUUUUAAUUAUGGAAAUCAUUUAUUUGAAAUCUUACAAUUAAGGAAAUAAGGUAAAUAUAUUUGACCUACUCGUGUGUGGUAGAACACGUCUCUGAUUUGCUCAACAGUUGUAGCCGCCUCCGACUUCAUCCACUGCAUCGGAUUCGUCCACCAUUCACCGGUGAAGUCAUAACCAGCCGAUCACUGUCCACCAAUACUUCCACCUCCCGCCUCCAUCAGUGUCGAUACAAAAUUGUUCAUCGUGGGUGUUUUUUCUUCAACAACCAUCGUCCCUUCAUUACCAUCCCCACAGAAGUCGACCUCGACCCCAAAAAAGCUUCAAUCGCUGAAACAAAAGCUCACCUGUCAUCCUCUCAAUCUCGUAUGUAGUCUCUAUUUCGACCAUCUAGUAAACCAUUGAAGGAGCACAAGCAAAAAAAGUAUGGGCAAUAUUCUGCUAGAAUGUAUAUUAUGUAGUCUUCCAUAUGUUAUGUAUAUACUGAUGGGGUUGAUUUCAUAUGUCAACACAGUGAAUUAAUUUUGUUUGAUUUCAUAUACCAACAUAGUAAAGGCUUAAUAUCAUAUGCCAAUAU